UGGGGAAUAUUGCACAAUGGGCGAAAGCCUGAUGCAGCGACGCCGCGUGAGGGAUGACGGCCUUCGGGUUGUAAACCUCUUUCAGCAGGGAAGAAGCGAAAGUGACGGUACCUGCAGAAGAAGCGCCGGCUAACUACGUGCCAGCAGCCGCGGUAAUACGUAGGGCGCAAGCGUUGUCCGGAAUUAUUGGGCGUAAAGAGCUCGUAGGCGGUUAGUCGCGUCUGCUGUGAAAACUCGAGGCUCAACCUCGGGCUUGCAGUGGGUACGGGCUGACUAGAGUGCGGUAGGGGUGACUGGAAUUCCUGGUGUAGCGGUGGAAUGCGCAGAUAUCAGGAGGAACACCGAUGGCGAAGGCAGGUCACUGGGCCGCAACUGACGCUGAGGAGCGAAAGCAUGGGGAGCGAACAGGAUUAGAUACCCUGGUAGUCCAUGCCGUAAACGUUGGGCACUAGGUGUGGGGUCCAUUCCACGGAUUCCGUGCCGCAGCAAACGCAUUAAGUGCCCCGCCUGGGGAGUACGGCCGCAAGGCUAAAACUCAAAGGAAUUG
rnacentral:rRNA from 1 species